GAUAACAUAAAAUUAUAUACGCACGCACACGCGUGCGCGUUAUUAUUAUACCUAGGUAUACUUUACAGUUUGCCGGGCGGUAAAGAUCGAACACUUGAAUACACAAACGGAGCCUACACCUAAAUAAUAAAAACGAUAUUGCACAUUUCGACUGCGGGUAACCAAAUUGCUUGUAUACACACGGUAAUAAUAUCGCCUACAAUAAUAUCUAUGUGUGCAAUAUUGUGUGCAGUACCUAUACCUAUAAUAUACAUUACGUAUUAUAAUAAUGCGCGUGUGUACGUGGGCGACGGCCGUAAAAUAAUAUGGGCAGAGACAUUUUGACAAUUUUCCGACUUUGUGCAAAUAAAAAAACUUUACCGCGUGGUUAAAAAUUUGAAAAAAAAAGAUCAAUUUAUACGUAGUAAAUACGAGACGAGCGUGUAUCCAUAGCCAUGUUCAAUUAUAAUAACACACACAGGCGAAUAUAUUUUUUAAAUUUUUUUUCUAUUUGGUAUACCGAACACACACACGCGCACACCUUUUAAAACAGUAUUCGGCCGUAAUUCUGCAGUUUAGCCGUGACCCGCCGUACGUACACACAUUGUUUUUUGGUUUUUUUUUCUUUUCGUUACACCUAUGUAUUAUAAUAUUAUAUUAUCAAAAAAGUGUCGAUCGCAAAAUAGUAAUCGGUUAUUCGGUUUGAUUUUCCAUUUUUUGUUUUUUUGCGCUUUGUAAGUCUAAUGAAAUUCGAUAAAACUUAACGUUUUCGUUUUCUUUAAUCUCGCUUACAUAUUUUUUGUUAUCGUUCGCCUACAUAGGACUUACAUUAUUAUAUUCGACGGAGCUUUUGAUUAUAUGAUUAUAAUUAUGUUUUAAAAAUGCAGAGUGAGUUUAAAUAAUAUACUAUUAUACAAGCAUCUAUAUACAUUUAUUCGAUUACCUACACCUAACGGCUAAUCACUUAUAUUGGUUUUUUUUUAUCAUUCGUAUAUUUUAUCAUUUGAAACUGAAAUAUUGCGUUUCUCGCGGAUAGGAAUAUAUUAUUAUUCAACUUUUUGUUCAAAAAACCACUUUUUCUUAAAAGUCUCUUCUAUAUAAAAUGUUUUCCCGGUUCUAUUAAAAUUAUUAUUUUAGUUAUAACUGUUUAAUUUUUACCUUUUAAGACAUUUAGGUUGAAAUGAUUAAAUUUGAAUGUCCUGAAAUUAUUUCUAGUUGUUUUUAUUAUUUUAUAUUCUGGGCGAAAUGAGAAAUAUAUUGAUUUCACUAUAACUUGUGCAUUUAUUUUUCUUUCUAUCUUUGAACACAUUUUAUUCCAGAAAUCUUAAACUGAUUAUCAAUUACAGUAGUGGUUUCUAUUAGCAAAUGUAGUCUGGUUGAUGCAUUGAGGGUAUUGCUAAUAAUAUUGAGAGAAACUGGACGAUUUACGCAUUAGUGGUUUCUAUUUUAUUUUUAUUUUUAUAUUGUAAUUUGGAUAGAAAUAAUCGUAAAGACCUAAAAUAUUCAAAAAAUAAACUCGUUUUAACACUUCCUAGAUGUAGUACAAUUUUCAAAAAAUUCUGAAAAUUGUUUUUUAUAGUUAUUUGAAAUUAUGUUGCCAUGAUUUAUAGAUGCGUACUGAUAUAAAUUAAAUUACCUUAUCCUAUUUUCCCAUUUUCCAAUUUCAUCGGCAGUAUCAACUUUUUUUUAAAAAAGGCUUGUAUUUAUGUGCAGCUGUUUUUUUAAUUAACAAAAUAAUGCAGUUUAUUCUCGUAAUAUUUGAGCUACAAGUUCGAUACGAAUAUUUUACGAAUAUAUGAUCGUGAUUAGCAUAACUUAUCAAAAUAUAAUUUCAUUAAUAUUGCCAACGUUUUAUGUGUUGCGUAUAGUAUGAUCGAAUAUACCGUAAAACUCAAAUUGAACUCAUCAUAAUUAUUCAGUUAUUUUACAUUUUAUUUGUUAUGCGAGUAUUUUAUCGACUUUAAGAUUUUAGUCACAUCUUCAAUCUUCAUGUAUCGUGGAACUAUUAUAAUAAACGGUCGUCCUUGAACGGAAAAUUCAUUAGAAACUAUACCUAACCCAUAGGUCAGGUAUAGUAAAUGUAUGUAUCAUUAAAAAAAAAUCAUCGAAAACCAUUAAAAUAUAUUAUUACAAUUGUAUACGUAUAUAGGUACCGAUAUUUAGGUUUGCUAAUAGUCCAUUGUUUGUUUGGUUGAAUAAUUUGGAGACGGAUGUGGAAUAAAUUCCUAAAUUCUUUAUAAACAGUUAAGAUGGCGUGAUACCAGCAUGUGUUAUCUCUGUUUUAUAAAUGUACGAAACAGCAAAUUUGACAACAUUGUGCUGUUAGUUUUAAUUUUAGAGUGAAUUGACCUAUUAUC